UUCUGAGACUACUAUAACACAGAGAUUGGUCACUUCCUGUACUGACCAGUCAAAUCGUGAUUAUUUUUGUGUCAUCGAUAACAUCUGAGUCACGUGACUUGAUGGGUUCGACAAGAUGGAAAAAUCCGCCAUCUUUGACUGCUGAAGAAAAAUAAUUAUUUAGCGAAUGUGUAUGUUUAAAGAGGUUUAUAUUUCGGAUUAUCCCAGAAAGAAAUCAUGCAUUGGAUUUGGAAGAACGUUGAAGUCUACUGGACAAAGUGAAAAAAAAUAAUUAUUAUUUUAAAAUUUCAUUGUCAUAUUGUUGUUAUGCUUGUCUCAGUAUAUGGAGAAAUAAAUAUUUAUGAAUUUUGA